CUGCCAACUAGCGAUUCGUCGAUGGUAAUCUAGCCUUGAUGGGGAGGUAAUCGGAAACGAAAGUCUUCCGGUUCCGGGGGAAGUAUGGUUGCAAAGCUGAAACUUAAAGAAAUUGACGGAAGGGCACCACCAGGAGUGGAGCCUGCGGCUUAAUUUGACUCAACACGGGAAACUCACCCGGCCCGGACACUGUGAGGAUUGACAGAUUGAAAGCUCUUUCUUGAUUCGGUGGAUGGUGGUGCAUGGCCGUU
rnacentral:rRNA from 1 species